UUUUAUAUUUUCCAAAGAAGAGGAAGGGGCUGUGGCCUCCCUCUCUCCUUCUAAAACCAACUGACAUGAGCCAGUGGAUCUUGAGGAUGGAUUCCCCUAGCCCCAGAAGGAUCAUUCAAACAGCUCUGCGAGGGAUGCAUGGGAAUGGGGCAUGACUGGGAGACCAGGGAGGCCAUUUGCUGAAGAAACCACAAAUUGGAAAGAGCCUGGGCUCCUGAAUCAGCCUGGAAGAGACCUAGCUGCUGAUCAGGAUCACUUGUCUGGGACUUUACUGAACAGAAAAAAAAGAAAAAAGAACACAGCCUCUGGGUGGCCAGGGAUCUGCAUCUAUGGAGUCUUGAAGAAUUGCUAGAAGGUGGUAUCAGAUUCAUCGUAUACUCCAGAGCUUUCGUCUCCCAGAUCUAUGGCACACUCAUCUGUCAUUGGCAAAGAGUAAGAUUUAAGACAAGGCAGCAUCUCCUAGCCCUCCCCAUCCAUGGUAGCUCAGUUGUGAAGUUCCCAAAGCCCUGAUGGAAAGAAGGCCCACUGACCUGGGAGAAGGAUACCUGGCUGCUAGUCCAGGCCACAUGACUCCGGGCCUCCAUUUCUUCAACUAGAAACUGAGAAGCUGGAACAACAUAAUCACUGAAAGCUGCUCCUAGCCCUGACAUUGAAGGGCUUUCUCAGGGAUUAUGAAUGUUUACAGGGACUAAGCAUGUAAGUGGGCUGGGUGAGGGCUGUGGCGAAUCAGAGAACCAUGCCCUGUCUCAAGAAAGCAGCCUACCACUGCCAUGUGAGAUG